rnacentral:rRNA from 1 species
CCCUCCCUCUGGCGGCAUGCCUAACACAUGCAAGUCGAACGAGACCUUCGGGUCUAGUGGCGCACGGGUGCGUAACGCGUGGGAACCUGCCCUUAGGUUUGGAAUAACUCCCCGAAUGGGGUGCUAAUACCGGAUAAUGUCUUCGGACCAAAGAUUUAUCGCCUUUGGUGGGGCCCGCGUUGGAUUAGCUAGUUGGUAGGGUAAAAGGCUACCACGGCGUCGAUCCAUAGCUGGUCUGUGAGGAUGGUCAGCCACACUGGGACUGAGAAGCGGCCGAGACUCCUACGGAAUGCAGGAAUGGGUAAUAGAGGACAGUGGGCGGAGGGAUGAAGCAGCUAGGCCGGUAGAGUUAUGAAAGUAGGAAGGUUGAAAAGCGCAAUUAACUGUGAUGGUAAUGACGGUACCUGGAGAGAAAGCUCCGGCUAACUCCGUG